GCAGUCGACGAGAAGCGUUCUUCGGAACGUGAGUACAGUGGCGGACGGGUGAGUAACACGUGGGGAACCUGCCCUCAAGCUGGGAACAACCCGCCUAACGGCGGGCUAAUACCGAAUGUGGUUGUCAGUCCGCAUGGUAUGACAACUAAGAGGUGGCCUCUCCUUGGAAGCUACCGCCUUGUGGAUGGCCCCGCGCUCAAUUAGCUAGUUGGUAGGGUAACGGCCUACCGAAGGCAACGAUUGAUAGCCAGACUCUGAGAGGGUGAUCGGCCACACUGGGAUUGAGAUAAGGCCCAGUCUCCUAUCGGGAGCCAGCAGUCUACAAGAUUUGGGCAAUGGGCGGAAAGCCUGACCCAGCGACGCCGCGUGGGGGAUGAAGCUUCUCGGAGUGUAAACCCCUGUUAGGUGGGACGAAGGCGCGUAUACGGGUGAGGGAGGGCGGGUUUGACGGUACCACCAGAGGAAGCUCCGGCUAACUCCGUGCCAGCAGCCGCGGUAAUACGGUGUGAGCACGCGUUGUUCAGAGUUAUUGUGCGUAAGGGCGUACAUGCGGUGGUGUCAGUCAGAUGGGAAAUCCCCCGGCUCACCGGGGACCUGCAGUUGAUACUGCAUCACUUGAGUACAUGAGAUGAUAGCGGAAUUUUCGGUGUAGCGGUGAAUGUGUAGAUAUC
rnacentral:rRNA from 1 species